rnacentral:rRNA from 1 species
CCUACGGGACGCAGCAGUGGGGAAUAUUGCACAAUGGGGGAAACCCUGACGCAGCGACGCCGCGUGAGCGAUGAAGUAUUUCGGUAUGUAAAGCUCUAUCAGCAGGGAAGAAAAUGACGGUACCUGACUAAGAAGCCCCGGCUAACUACGUGCCAGCAGCCGCGGUAAUACGUAGGGGGCAAGCGUUAUCCGGAUUUACUGGGUGUAAAGGGAGCGUAGACGGCUGUGCAAGCCAGAUGUGAAAGCCCGGGGCUCAACCC